CCAUUCCAGAUAUUUACAAUUUAAAAUUCAAAUAAAACUCUUAGUCCGAAUAAACACUCCUUCGAAAAUUCCCGAGCCACCCACCUCUUCAGGACCCAAGCGCCUUCAAGUUGCCGAGAGACCAGGAAUUUAGCUAAGGCUCGGUUUCUGUUUCUCGUCUCUGCGUCUGCUGCACUGCUCCCAUCGAUUUUGCUGAAAUAGCGGACUUGUUAUCGCCGCUAUUUCCCGUUACACUGCUACUUGCGGCUGCCAUCCGCUGCAUGUUAAAUUUGUUGAACUGUGUUUAGUGGUGUCGGGGGCGCCGCUACUGCGAAAUAGCGGCUGCGAACCACUAUGCCACUGCUAUUUUGAACCCUACUAAUCCCGUAUGGCCCAUAGAUAGAAGAAGAUGUCAGGAGUAGCCAAUCAAGAAGGAGGCAAGAAGCCUGCUGAUACGGCUCACAUCAAUCUUAAAGUAAAAAAUUUCCUAUUUCCCCCUUCUGUUCAAUAAGUAGGGGGUUUGAUCUUUUGCAGUAAAACAAAAAUCUUAAAUUAGUGUUGAGUACUUUUGUCUUACAUUUCUAUUAUGUUGUUUAAAUUGGAAGAUUUUGAAUUGUAAUUUGGUUUAGAUUUCAAACAGGUGGUGGUAAGUCCUACUAGUUGGUUUUUAGGUUUAUUUAUGCGGUAGAAUCAAAGUUAUAGAGUAGUGAAAACUAGGAUGUAUUAGAUAUAAACCUCUGAAACUAUGUGGUCUCUUACAAAAAUAUGGCCUAUGGGUUUUUAUGGAAGCUUUUUUAUUGUUCUUGUUA